GCGUCAUAUUUUUUACUCAUCCGCUAUAAAUAUUAUAUAAUUCGCGCGCGCCGUAUUUUUACUCAUCCCCUAUCUACGAGUUUCUCGCGCGCCCUAUUUUUACUCAUCCACUACCUACGAGUUUCUCGCGCCCUAUUUUUACGCAUCCGCUACUUACGAGUUUCUCGCGCGUCAUAUUUUUACUCAUCCGCUACCUAGGACUUUCGCGCGCCCUAUAUUUACUCAUCCGCUACUACGAGUUUCUCGCGCGCCCUAUUUUUAUUCAUCCACUAUGUACGAGUUUCUCGCGCGCCCUAUUUUUACUCAUCCACUACCUACGAGUUUCUCGCACCCUAUUUUU
rnacentral:lncRNA from 1 species